ensembl:lncRNA
GGAAGACUUUAUUCAGGACUGUGGCAACAGGGAGACUAGUCAGGACUAUUGCAAUAGGGGAGCGAGAUGGAGCUCAACUUGGAACACAACAAGGACAAAGCGGAUUUACAGCCAAGGAGCAGGGCGAGGGGGUCAGUGGAUGGAAGAUUACUAAGAGGAGACAUCAAGGAUCCCGGGAUUCUUGCUGAAGGCAGGAAAGGACUUAGACGUCAAAGGUGAGGGAGGAGGAACUUGAUCAGAUAUCAAGGGUCAUCAGAUAGCGAGAGUGGGGCGAUUCUCACUAAACUGACAGCAAGAUUCUCGCUGAGACCGGGCCAGGCAGGCCAAAGGCAGAUGGGGCCAAAGUCAAGGCCUAGUCGAGAAGAGGGCUUAGAGGAGCCUAGGUAAAGUUUGGUCAGGAGAGUCUUCAUCAUCCCUGGCACCUCACCGUCUCUUGUUGGUUCCCUCAACCCCACCCACACCUCUCUGCACACAGUCCUUUCAUUAAACCCUCUUCAAUGAAACAUCUGAGCAAUGGGUCGUCCUCUCCCGCCAGGCCCUGACUGUGGAUCCUUCCCACCUCACAGACCCGUUUUGAGGAUCAAAUGAGACAACGGGUGCAAGAGGGCUUCCUGAGCCCUGAGGAUAAGGAAGUUUUCUUCAUGAUUGAGAGGAAUCUGGUACAGUGCAAAGGGCACAGGGCACGGGGUUUAGGCUUAGUCCCGGGUUCAAAUCCUGGCCGUGCCCCUUGUUAGCUGUGCUGAGGGGCAGGUGCUUAUCUUCCCUAGGCCUCAAGUUCCCACCCUAUUCAUCAAGGAAAGUACUUCUCCCUCAUGGAGUCCUGGGGGAUGACAGAGGAAACAAGAGGGUUUCUCAGAUGAGCGUCCUUGGCUGUUUGUCUCCACGGGGGAAGGUGGACUCUGACGUCAGGGAGCCGAGGAGCUGGGCCUGGGAAGCCUCGGUUUCUUGAUAUUGUCUGGGCACUAGUUUCUCUGUAAAAGGACUUCAAGGUCCUGGGAUCGCCCACAACUUUAGUGGGAGCCCAGAGUGAGGCCAUCUGGACUUGAACAAUUUGUAACUUCUAUUUGGUCGUAAAGCUCAGGGGGUCAAAGCUUAAAGAAACAAGCAUUUUUCAAUGAGUGUAACUAAGGAUCCAGGGUCCUGGAGAUGUGUGCCUUUAGUUUUAGCCCAUCUCUGCUGGGUUCACUGAAGGGGAACUGAUAGCCGGGCUGAUAGCGACUAAUAGCCGGUCACACAUUGGCCCAGCCCACCCAGCCACCACCCCAUCUCCCACCUGGGAAACCGGGAGCAGUUAGGGCUGGAAUCCUGGGGAAGAGAAGUUCUUUUUCUGUUGGGCUGCUGAGGGGCGAUGAGGCCAGCCUGGGAGUGGUGGUGGAGAGCCCCCCUGAGCAGGACAGCAGCACAGAGGGCAGGAAGCCAAGCCAAGAGGCUGGGAGGGACGAUCCCUGCUGAUGGCGUCGAGCACCCAGGCUGACAGCUGGAUGAGAAUGGAGACCCCUGCCUGCUUCUCCUGCUGCACUGUGCCCGGUGUCCAGAGCCGGCCCACCAGCCACAGGGCCUCAGUGAUGUGCACUGGGCCAGUGAACACUGCAGACCACACAGGAGCAUACUUCCAGGAGUGCUAAGCGCCGUCAGUUCCUUCACUGUCCAUGGAGCCCAGCUCUGUGCCCGGCCCUGACUUACACUGUAGGCAUGACAGCCGUGAAGGAGACAAACUCUGCCGCCCCCUGGAGCCGACGUCACAGAGGGGCAAACAGUGAGCAGAGCACAGCAGCUGGGCCGUGCUCUUCCAGUGGGAUCUAUGCCUGAUUCACCUCGGGUAGCGCGAUGGAGUCUGGCCAGGUGCCCGGCAUGUGGGCUUCACAGAGGGCCCUGCUCUCCGUGGGUGAAGGAAAAUCUUCUCUGCCCGCUCAGAUGCUGGGACCGUCCCAGGGCCGUCUCGUGAGCAGGUGGAAAGACUCUGCAUGCAGUGUCACCGGCCUUGCAAGCAGCAGCCAGCGGCCUCCUGGACAUCCUCAGGCUUCUGAGGAGCCCCUGCGGAAGCUCCCUGACACACGACCCUCCCUCUGGACCCCAAGAUGUCUGGCUUCCUGUGGAGCUCCCUUAGACAUGGAGCUGGGUGAGCAGCCCAGACCUCGGUCAGCACUCCCAGGGGGAUCGCUCUGCGCCACUGUCAUAAAAGGGAGAUGUCGUCCCAGUGGACAGGCCCAACUCCUGCAUUACAGUCAGAAAACUCAGCAUCACGUGGAAAUGACCCGAGGCUGCUUUGAGGGCCCAAACCCGUGCCGCAGUCCAGGCUCUGAGGUUUCACCUCAGUGGGGCUGAAAUGCAGACCUGCAGUGAGGGUGGCCUCUCCUUGUGAGCCCUGGCGCCUCCAGGUCAUCCUCUAGGUUCACUGAGCAUUUGGACACGAUGCUUCUUAGGCCACGGAGGUGCCAGCUCCCUUCUGAAUUGAAUCCAUGCAGAGUGCCACUCUGGUUGGCACAGCUCUGUGGGGCACUGGACUGAGGCCUCUCGCCCACACGUCACCGCCCAUCCAUGUGUCCUCCUUGCACGGCCCCCACUCACAGCGGUAGGCACCACCCUGGGCCAAACCCCCACACUGCUGGCUGGCUCCGGAUUCCGCGUCUCACCUCCACGUAAAAUGCAGGGGGGCAGCUCCACCUCUCGCUCUGGGAUGGGACCUGCCGGGACCUUACACGGGCUGUACCCUGUUCCGCUUGCCAGGCCGGGUCCUGCUGGGCAGGCAGCAGCACAGGCCUCGGAGCACCUUGAGCAGCCUCUCUGGCGUUGCCUCUCUGGCCCUGGCUGCUGCCCAAGGGGGAGGCCGGGGUCGCCCCACUGGGGCGCCCAGGCUACUGGAAGUCUCUGUGGCAGCUUCCCUCCAGGGCCCCAUGGCUGGGGCUGGCACUGUGGGGAGGAGGACGGCCUUGGGGACCCGCUAGGGGGUCAGGCUGGGGGUAGUGGUGCCUGACUCCAGGCGGGGCAGGGUGGUGCCAGGAGGCUCUGUGGCCUUCAGCACUGACUCCUGUUUCUCCUCGGGCCGCUGACGGCCAGCUUCAUGGAGCCAGGUGGGCAGAAUGGGCUCACUGCCACCAUGUCGUCCGGAGCGUGCCGAGGCCCUCAGCUGCACCAUGUAGGGUGGCAAAGCACCACAGCGGCUGCCCUCGGCAGAUGGGAGGGACCUCCCGGUGCUGGCGUGGCCAUCCCCCUGGGGCUUCUGGGACCUCAGGAUCAGGAACAGGGCCCUGGUAUUGUCAUACCUUCGUGUUCUGAGGGACUCCAGGAUUUGCUUCCACUGAAAACCCAUCUUCAUCAUUGCUUCUGUCACCCAGGAUUCCCUUGUGUCACAAGGCAGCUCCUAUACGGGCUCAGUUUCGGCCAGCCCUGAUUGACCCAUGGGUCUCCCAUGACCUCUUCUAAGGUCUUCCUCUUCCUGGGGUCAAGGGUCAGCAGGCCUCUCAUAAUUGGAUGCAUUCCAACAAAAGGAGCAUGGGGAGCGAGUAGGCCCCUCUGAGCAUGCUCUGCCGCACGUCACUGAAGUCCUCUCCCCAGAACGGCGGGGACCCGGUGAGCAUGACAUGGAGCAGCACGCCGAGGCUCCAGCCGUCAGCUGGGGGGCCGUCUUAGGGCUGCAGCCGCAGGACCUCCGGGGCCGUGUAGCCGGGGGUGCCACAGUAGGUGCUCAGUGGCCGGCCAGGGACCAUGCUGCUGAGGCCGAAGUCGGCCAGCUUCGCGUUCCCCUCCGGGUCCAGGAGCACCUUCUCCAGCUUCAGGUCCUGGUGCAUGAUGCCCUUGCGGUGGCAGUACUGGAGAGCUGAGACGAGCUGCCGGGACCGGCCGCAGGCCUCCUCCUCGGUCAGGGGGCCGUGCUGCAACCGAGGGUCGAGGGUGUCCCCUCUGCUGAUGUAUUCUGUGAUGAUGAACAGCGUCUCCUCCGUGUCGAUCACCUCUAGCAGCUUUACAAUGUGGGAUGGUGCAAUGUCUUCAAACUCUGCAUUUCACCGAGGAGUCUCUUGGCUCUGGAGGAGCUCUGCUCCUGCUUCGGGGUGAUUUUCACGGCAACCUCUGUCCUGGCCGGGAUGUGCAGGGCCAGCUUCACCUGUGAAGGAGCCCUCCCCAAUGGUCCUGAGGAGCUCGUAAUCGUGAAGACAGGUCUGCCUGCCAGAGAGGUGGCAGCGAGGCCUGGAAGCAUGGUGACCUCAUAACUACACUUACUGACAAUACCAACCAAUGAUGCUAACUAUGCUUACUAACUACGCCAACAAACAAAACGUUAGUCUGCUAACUAAUAGUGACUAAUGAUAGUAACAAGGCCACCGAUGCUUGCUAACUUACUAACUAUGCUAAUAAGUAACACUAACUAUACCAAAGAUGCUAACUCUACUAACUACACCAACAAUACUAACUAUACUAACUGUAAUAACAAUACUAACUAAAAAAAAUUGUUUUAAAAUGUGAAAAAGAACAAAAAAAAGCAAGGAAAAAUAAAAAAUGAGAAAAGAACAGGUUUUCAUAAAUUCCAUCACAGCGGCUCCUUAUGAGGUGAGAGCAGGAAAUGCACAGGCGUGGCUGGGGAUGAACUAUAGUGGUUGGCUCACUUUUUGGUCUCAAGAUCCCUUUACUCUGAAACAAAGGGACCCCAAAGAGAUUUUUUUUAUUUGGGAUAUUAGUGAUAUUUACUUUAUUAGAAAUUAAAAUCUGUAAGAUGCUUCAGUGGACUUUUCAUUUCUAAUUUAAAAAUCUCUCGUAACUUUUGGCUGUUAAAGAUUGCAAAAUAUCUACACUUAAAAUAUUCAACUCCUUUUCUUUAAACUCUGAUUAGUCUCAAAAUGAUCCUACCACUGAAGUGCUGUUAUAAUCCUAUAGGAAAAUGUUCUGUUGCAUGAGACCUGAAAAGGGACAUCAUUAAUGUUCAUAAAGCUGAGAGGAAGAGAGCUUUCCUCAUAUUUUCCCAGUAAGAUCAGGAG